UACGUAGGGUGCGAGCGUUGUCCGGAAUUACUGGGCGUAAAGAGCUCGUAGGUGGUUUGUCGCGUUGUUCGUGAAAACUCACAACUCAAUUGUGGGCGUGCGGGCGAUACGGGCAGACUGGAGUACUGCAGGGGAGACUGGAAUUCCUGGUGUAGCGGUGGAAUGCGCAGAUAUCAGGAGGCACACCGGUGGCGAAGGCGGGUCUCUGGGCAGUAACUGACGCUGAGGAGCGAAAGCGUGGGGAGCGAACAGG
rnacentral:rRNA from 1 species